GAUGAACGCUGGCGGCGUGCCUAAUACAUGCAAGUCGAGCGAACAGACGAGGAGCUUGCUCCUCUGACGUUAGCGGCGGACGGGUGAGUAACACGUGGAUACCCUACCUAUAAGACUGGGAUAACUUCGGGAAACCGGAGCUAAUACCGGAUAAUAUAUUGAACCGCAUGGUUCAAUAGUGAAAGACGGUUUUGCUGUCACUUAUAGAUGGAUCCGCGCCGCAUUAGCUAGUUGGUAAGGUAACGGCUUACCAAGGCAACGAUGCGUAGCCGACCUGAGAGGGUGAUCGGCCACACUGGAACUGAGACACGGACCAGAGUCCUACGGGAGGCAGCAGUAGGGAAUCUGCCGCAAUGGGCGAAAGCCUGACGGAGCAACGCCGCGUGAGUGAUGAAGGUCUUCGGAUCGUAAAACUCUGUUAUUAGUGAAGAACAAAUGUGUAAGUAACUAUGCACGUCUUGACGGUACCUAAUCAGAAAGCCACGGCUAACUACGUG
rnacentral:rRNA from 1 species